AUUCCAUGACGGGGACAUUGUCUAAGUAACUCUUUGAAUCUUUCCCAAGCGUCAAAUAAGGAUUUGUCAUCUACUUAUCCAAACGAAGUAAUCUCAUUCCUUAUCAU